CCAUAGCUCAAUGGUAGAGUUUCUGCGUGGCGUGCGGAAGCUUCCGGGUUCAAUCCCCAGAAUCUCCAGGCAGGG